GCCGAAGUGGUGGAAUUGGUAGACACGUCGGUCUCAAAAACCGAUGGCUUCUGG
rnacentral:tRNA from 1 species